rnacentral:rRNA from 1 species
AGCGAACGCUGGCGGCAUGCCUUACACAUGCAAGUCGAACGGUAACAGGUCUUCGGAUGCUGACGAGUGGCGAACGGGUGAGUAAUACAUCGGAACGUGCCUAGUAGUGGGGGAUAACUACUCGAAAGAGUGGCUAAUACCGCAUGAGAUCUACGGAUGAAAGCAGGGGAUCGCAAGACCUUGUGCUACUAGAGCGGCCGAUGGCAGAUUAGGUAGUUGGUGGGAUAAAAGCUUACCAAGCCGACGAUCUGUAGCUGGUCUGAGAGGACGAUCAGCCACACUGGGACUGAGACACGGCCCAGGCUCCUACGGGAGGCAGCAGUGGGGAAUUUUGGACAAUGGGCGCAAGCCUGAUCCAGCAAUGCCGCGUGCAGGAUGAAGGCCUUCGGGUUGUAAACUGCUUUUGUACGGAACGAAAAGCCCUGGGUUAAUACCCUGGGGUCAUGACGGUACCGUAAGAAUAAGCACCGGCUAACCACGUGCCAGCAGCCGCAGUAACAC